rnacentral:misc_RNA from 1 species
AAUGUAGCGAAAACAGUGGUAUAAGUAUCGAGCUUUAUAACAUGUUAUCAAGUUCGUGUUUUUAAAUGAUUGUUUAGUAGCAAUUAAUGAUACAGAUAUAUUUCCACUGAAAUACCACACACGAAAGCUCAUCGUGCAUUCUCUGAAUUGGACGUAUCUGUGUGAUGACGGACUUAUGCUUGUGAUUUUGAAUACAAACUGAGUGACAUAAGAGAAAGUGAAAAAGAAACUUCUUAAGAAUUCUCCAUGAUUUUUCAAGGAAGUACCACGGAUAAUCUACCCAUGGCCUACAAUCCGUUUUUCCUGCACCGACCCUCGGACUAUGGGUCACUCCUGGCCCAACAACAAUAUCUCUCCAACAUAGCCCUUGCAGUCCCCGGGAUAUGCAGCCUCCCUCCUCCCAAAGCUGGGCCGCAAUCCCCUGGGUGCAGAUAUGCUGCACUCUCUGGGGUCUCGGCAUCUCAGAGGUAUGGAACCCCCAGAGACUGAAGUCCAUGACGACCCAAAAGUGGAGUUAGAAGGCAAAGACCUGUGGGACCAGUUCCACAAAAUCGGCACCGAAAUGGUCAUCACCAAAUCUGGAAGACGCAUGUUUCCCCCAUUCAAAGUCCGAGUUUCCGGAUUGGACAAAAGAGCAAAAUAUAUUCUGUUGAUGGACAUCGUCCCCGUUGAUGACUGUAGAUACAAAUUUCACAACGGCCGCUGGGUGGUGGCAGGAAAAGCCGACCCAGAAAUGCCCAAAAGAAUGUAUAUCCACCCCGACUCCCCAAGCACAGGGGAACAAUGGAUGCAGAAAGUGGUCUCCUUCCAUAAGCUGAAACUGACCAAUAACAUCUCGGACAAGCACGGCUUUACGAUCCUGAAUUCCAUGCACAAGUACCAGCCUCGUUUUCAUUUAGUCCGGGCCAACGAUAUUCUGAAGCUUCCCUACUCUACGUUCCAGACUUUUGUCUUCAAAGAGACAGACUUCUUUGCAGUCACAGCGUAUCAAAACGAAAAGAUCACACAGCUGAAAAUUGACCAUAACCCUUUCGCCAAAGGUUUCAGGGAUACUGGCGCAGGCAAAAGAGAAAAGAAAAGGGUGAUCACACAAAAUGGCCAGUCAGUGUUGGUAUCUCCAGACAAAUCCCGCUCAGAUGACGCCCAGAGUGACGACGAAGACAACGAAGAGAUCUGUGUCGAUGAGACAGACGACAUGCAUACCGAUGUGUCGUCUGCUAACCAGCUCAAAAACCUAAAUAAAACUGAACAAGAACUUAUUAGUGCUGCAAUUCCAAGUUCACCCAAGAGACCUGAAUCCCCGGUCAAAUUAUUCGACAGCGAGAAACCAGCAUCCCCCACAGAAACUGAAAAAGUUUGCAAAAGGGAGGAAUCACCGUCACCGACCCGGGGGGACGAGUUUAACCGGUCCGACGUCAGCAAUUCUACAUUCAAGAGUCUGAGUGACCACGAAGGAGAGAGUAGUGACGAAAGUAUCCGUGAUGAUCGCCGGAAAUCACCAGACUUAUCCUCUAGUGCUUCCCCCAUUGACAGCAUCUGCAAAGAACCAACGAAACCACCCAAUGUUACGGUGGUUCAACCCUCCGCCACACACGCAAUGUUUCCAUUCAUGUACCCAUCCAACGGGCUUUUUUCUUCACCGUCUUCGAUGCCUUUCCCUCUUGGGCACAUGUUCGGAAGCUCUCCCUUUUCUUCGCAGCUUCCAUUUUUCAGCACUGGACAAAGUGACAUUAGCAGUUUACCACCCGCACACCCGUUGUCGCUCUCAUUGAGUUCCCUCUCCCCACAUAACCAGACUCUUUUACAACCGGCAUACUCUACCGGAAGUUCAUUCACAGGAAGCAGCUCUUUCUCUCCUCCUCACGCACAAGGGACCCAAAUCGGACCAAUGUUCACAUCUCGCACCAGUCCAAGAUUUACACCUUAUUCCCUACCAUCCACAAAAACAACAAUGUCCAGUUCAAACUCCCCAAACACUUCCGGUUUGGGACUUGGUUGUACCCCUGACCUGAUUUCACCACGUACGCAUGGAUAUGGUCAUCAUUCACCCCAAAAUCGUAGUCCCGUGUCUCUAAACAUUCCCUCAUCUUUUGACACUCAAAGUAGAAGUAGUGAACUGCAAAGUAUGGAACGGAUGUUGACCGGACUCGAUCGCAGCAAAAUGAUGCCGCACAGCCAUUUAGAAAAAUAAAAGCCUUACACUAUAAUCUCUUCAUUGAAAAAACAACGGGUGAUAUAACAUAACUAAGAUUUUUUAUUUGUCGUAUAAUGAUUUGUUUUGAUAUACAUUGAAAUGAUAAUUGUCAUGUUUUGUGUUGCUUUCUAGUCAAUAGUAUUUGAUUAGAGGUCUUUAAAAAAUUAUGAUUGAAACAUGAUAGAUUGAAAAUUAGUUCAUACGAGCAUUGUAUAUUUGUAUAGAUUGAAGUAUGAAAAUUUUUUUUCGGAAUUGUAUAUCGAAUUGUUACUAUAAGUAUACAUGUAUAUUGUUAUUGAUUUAUUUUUCUCUGUUACCAUUGUGUAUGUAAAUCGUUACUAUAUUUCAUUAAGUUCUCUUCUCACUUGGCGUAACAAUAUUGCCGAGUUGUAACAGGGCUCUUUAAUAUUCAUACGGGCAUAGUGCAAUAAAUUCGUUCCUUUGAAUAUGAAAAUAAAAGUACUGAAAACA